AGAGUUUGAUCAUGGCUCAGGACGAACGCUGGCGGCGUGCCUAACACAUGCAAGUCGAGCGGAGAGAGCACCUUCGGGUGUGAUCUUAGCGGCGGACGGGUGAGUAACGCGUGGGCAACCUACCUCAUACAGGGGGACAACACCGGGAAACUGGUGCUAAUACCGCAUAAGACAUCAGGAGGGCAUCCUGUAGAUGUCAAAGGAGAAAUCCGGUAUGAGAUGGGCCCGCGUCCGAUUAGCUAGUUGGUGGGGUAAAGGCCUACCAAGGCGACGAUCGGUAGCCGAACUGAGAGGUUGAUCGGCCACAUUGGGACUGAGACACGGCCCAGACUCCUACGGGAGGCAGCAGUGGGGAAUAUUGCGCAAUGGGGGAAACCCUGACGCAGCAACGCCGCGUGAAAGGAUGAAGGCUUUCGGGUUGUAAACUUCUUUGAUUAGGGACGAAUAAUGACGGUACCUAAAAACAAGCCACGGCUAACUACGUGCCAGCAGCCGCGGUAAUACGUAGGUGGCGAGCGUUGUCCGGA
rnacentral:rRNA from 1 species